GACGAACGCUGGCGGCAGGCCUAAUACAUGCAAGUCGAACGCACUCUUCGGAGUGAGUGGCAGACGGGUGAGUAACGCGUGGGAACCUUCCCAAUGGUACGGAAUAACUCCGGGAAACCGGUGCUAAUACCGUAUAAGCCCCUCGGGGGAAAGAUUUAUCGCCAUUGGAUGGGCCCGCGUCGGAUUAGCUUGUUGGUAAGGUAAUGGCUUACCAAGGCUACGAUCCGUAGCUGGUCUGAGAGGAUGAUCAGCCACACUGGGACUGAGACACGGCCCAGACUCCUACGGGAGGCAGCAGUGGGGAAUCUUGCGCAAUGGGCGAAAGCCUGACGCAGCAAUGCCGCGUGAGGGAAGAAGGGCCUUAGGGUCGUAAACCUCUUUUCAGCAGGGACGAAAAC
rnacentral:rRNA from 1 species